GCAGUCGAACGGCAGCAUGAUCUAGCUUGCUAGAUUGAUGGCGAGUGGCGAACGGGUGAGUAAUACAUCGGAACGUGCCCUGUAGUGGGGGAUAACUAGUCGAAAGAUUAGCUAAUACCGCAUACGACCUGAGGGUGAAAGUGGGGGACCGCAAGGCCUCAUGCUAUAGGAGCGGCCGAUGUCUGAUUAGCUAGUUGGUGAGGUAAAGGCUCACCAAGGCGACGAUCAGUAGCUGGUCUGAGAGGACGAUCAGCCACACUGGGACUGAGACACGGCCCAGACUCCUACGGGAGGCAGCAGUGGGGAAUUUUGGACAAUGGGGGCAACCCUGAUCCAGCAAUGCCGCGUGUGUGAAGAAGGCCUUCGGGUUGUAAAGCACUUUUGUCCGGAAAGAAAUCGCACUUACUAAUAUUAGGUGUGGAUGACGGUACCGGAAGAAUAAGGACCGGCUAACUACGUGCCAGCAGCCGCGGUAAUACGUAGGGUCCAAGCGUUAAUCGGAAUUACUGGGCGUAAAGCGUGCGCAGGCGGUUGUGCAAGACCGAUGUGAAAUCCCCGGGCUUAACCUGGGAAUUGCAUUGGUGACUGCACGGCUAGAGUGUGUCAGAGGGGGGUAGAAUUCCACGUGUAGCAGUGAAAUGCGUAGAGAUGUGGAGGAAUACCGAUGGCGAAGGCAGCCCCCUGGGAUAACACUGACGCUCAUGCACGAAAGCGUGGGGAGCAAACAGGAUUAGAUACCCUGGUAGUCCACGCCCUAAACGAUGUCAACUAGUUGUUGGGGAUUCAUUUCCUUAGUAACGUAGCUAACGCGUGAAGUUGACCGCCUGGGGAGUACGGUCGCAAGAUUAAAACUCAAAGGAAUUGACGGGGACCCGCACAAGCGGUGGAUGAUGUGGAUUAAUUCGAUGCAACGCGAAAAACCUUACCUACCCUUGACAUGCCACUAACGAAGCAGAGAUGCAUUAGGUGCUCGAAAGAGAAAGUGGACACAGGUGCUGCAUGGCUGUCGUCAGCUCGUGUCGUGAGAUGUUGGGUUAAGUCCCGCAACGAGCGCAACCCUUGUCUCUAGUUGCUACGAAAGGGCACUCUAGAGAGACUGCCGGUGACAAACCGGAGGAAGGUGGGGAUGACGUCAAGUCCUCAUGGCCCUUAUGGGUAGGGCUUCACACGUCAUACAAUGGUGCAUACAGAGGGUUGCCAAGCCGCGAGGUGGAGCUAAUCCCAGAAAAUGCAUCGUAGUCCGGAUCGUAGUCUGCAACUCGACUACGUGAAGCUGGAAUCGCUAGAAUCGCGGAUC
rnacentral:rRNA from 1 species